GACGAACGCUGGCGGCGUGCUUAACACAUGCAAGUCGAACGGUGAAGGGGUCUGCUUUUGUGGGCCCUGGAUGAGUGGCGAACGGGUGAGUAACACGUGAGUAACCUGCCCCCUUCUUCUGGAUAACCGCAUGAAAGUGUGGCUAAUACGGGAUAUUCUGGGUCUGUCGCAUGAUGGGUCUGGGAAAGAUUGCGCCUUUGGGUGUGUUUGGUGGGGGAUGGGCUCGCGGCCUAUCAGCUUGUUGGUGGGGUGAUGGCCUACCAAGGCGGUGACGGGUAGCCGGCCUGAGAGGGUGGACGGUCACACUGGGACUGAGACACGGCCCAGACUCCUACGGGAGGCAGCAGUGGGGAAUAUUGCACAAUGGGCGCAAGCCUGAUGCAGCGACGCCGCGUGAGGGAUGGAGGCCUUCGGGUUGUAAACCUCUUUCGCCAGUGAAGCAGGCCUGCUCCUUGUGGGUGGGUUGACGGUAGCUGGAUAAGAAGCGCCGGCUAACUACGUG
rnacentral:rRNA from 1 species